rnacentral:rRNA from 1 species
AUUGAACGCUGGCGGCAUGCCUUACACAUGCAAGUCGAGCGGCAGCGCGGGGGCAACCCUGGCGGCGAGCGGCGAACGGGUGAGUAAUGCAUCGGAACGUGUCCUUUUGUGGGGGAUAACCAGUCGAAAGACUGGCUAAUACCGCAUGAGCUCGAGAGAGGAAAGCAGGGGACCCGAGGGUAACUUCGGGCCUUGCGCGAGAGGAGCGGCCGAUGCCCGAUUAGCAGUUGGUGAGGUAACGGCUCACCAAGGCGACGAUCGGUAGCUGGUUUGAGAGAACGACCAGCCACACUGGGACUGAGACACGGCCCAGACUCCUACAGGAGGCAGCAGUGGGAAUUUUGGACAAUGGGGGCAACCCUGAUCCAGCCAUGCCGCGUGUGUGAAGAAGGCCUCGGUUG